UCUUUGUCCGGAGACGCAAUAUCUCUGCGACUGAAGGUUAGCUGCUUGCCGAAAGUACAGUACACGGGACAAAAAGGAAAGCUGCAAAAAAACGGGAGGGAAAUACUUUCGGUAUUGACUGAGAGGCUUUAAUAGCCGUUGAUGCAUGUCAGAAAACAAAUUUUAACAUGCCGGCCCCGUGUUUUGCAGCAAACGAAAAAACUGCUGCGGACCUGAGGCUGCGAUAGGCAGAGGUAAUUGCCACCAUCUUUAUUAGGGGCAAUGAUCUUCGGGACUCAUGCGGGAUCGCCAUAUUUAUAGGUGGCAAUCUGCAGUGGAACGCAAGCGCAGCCUUUCUUGUUUGGGAGAGGAGAUUAAGACAAGAGAAAUGUUUGUUUUUGUUUUUCUGGACUUCUUUCCCAGACUGUGAGACAUGGCGUGUAUUUCCUGGGAAGGACUUUUGACACUGGCGGAGUACUGGCUUCAGGCAGUAUAAAUUGCUGCAAGUUAUACGUUAGAUAUUUGAUGGAGGAGAAAUGCCGAAAACGCGUUCAGAACUGCAUGUUCAAAAACAAAGUUGCUGGAAAAGCUCAGAUAUUUAUUGAGAAUAAUUUGCAGACCAGGAUCACAAAGCAUGUUCUCCAUUAAGCGGAGUGAUCAGGAUCUGAGUAUCAUUGACACUUAACUGGGAAAGGGAAGAGGUUUAACCAUUCUAUGCGUGGGAGAAUAUUCCUGGACUCUUUUAUACCCCCCACAGGACCUUUCGUGAUCUAAUCCCGAAACAGUGUGAGCUGCUACAAUGCAUGUGCUAGUAAAAGCAUAAGAGGACAGAUGAGAUGAGUGCAUGGCUGGAGCUAUAACUUAAAAGGAUUUUGAACAUUAAAGGAAGAAGCACUGUUCACACCAGGGAGAAAUGCGUAUUGUCUGUGUGUCGAAGAUUCUGUGAAGAUUCAUCUGAAAUGCCCAAACACCAGCACGGUCACACUGGGGAGAGACUGUGGUAAUGUGGGGAUUGUGGGAAGGGAUUUAUUUACCCAUCCCAGCUGGAAAUGCACCAACGCAGUCACACUGGGGAGAAACUGUUCAUUUGCUCUGAUUGUGGGCUGGGAUUCACUCAGUCAAGCAACCUGCUGAAACACCAACGAGUUCACAGUGGGGACAGACUGUUCACAUGUUCCGAGUAUGGGAAGGGAUUUGCUCACUCAACCAACCUGCUGAGACACCAGCGAGUUCACUCUGGGGACAGACCAUUCACUUGUUCUAUGUGUGGAAAGGGAUUCACUCAAUCAUCCCAACUGUUAACACACCAGCAAGUUCACCACAACCACAUUUGAAGGAUUUUGCCCUUAAAUCAAGGAAUGAACUUUGAUCUUUGGGCUGUUUGUACUGGUGUCAUUAGUCCCUGCUCAAAACUUGAUCUUCUCUUGGGAAAUAAGGUAGGGCAGGUGACUGAGGGGUCAGCAGGGGGGACAAUAUUUUGGGGCCUAUGAUUAUAUCUCUAUUAGUUUUAAAAUAAUUAUGGAAAAGGAUAGACUUUGGUCGAAGAGUCAAAGUUUUAAAUGAGGCCAAUUUUGACACUACUAUGCUUCUUAAAAGCACAGUAAGACCGCCUAUGUGUGGGAAUGCACGAGAUGGGUGAGAUACAAAAAAGUAUUUUACAUCAGUAUUUACUGUGAUAAAGGAUACAAAAGCUAAAGAACUUAGAGAAAUGAAUGUGUAUCUUGAAAAGUUCCAUGUUGUAGAGGAGGUGGUGCUGGAUGCCAUACAGAGCAUAAAGGUGGAUAAAUCCCCAGGACCUCUUCAGGUGUAUUCUCGAACUUUGCGGGAAGCUAGGCUUGCGAUUGGGCCCCUUGCUCAGAUAUUUGCACCAUUGACAGUCAUAGGUGAGCUGUUACACUGGAGGUUGGCUAAUCUGGUGCCAUUGUUUAAGAAAGGUGGUAACAUAAAACCAGGGAACAAUAAACUUUUAGUGAGCCUGAUGUCAGUUGUGGGUAAGUUGUUGGAGGGAAUUCUGAGGGAUAGGAUUUACAUAUAUUUGGAAAGCGUGGACUGAAUGGGGAAUAGUUGACAUGGCUUUGUCCAUAGGAAAUUAUGCCUUACUAACUUGAUUGAGUUUUUUUGAAGAAGUUAGAAACAAGAUUGAUGGCAGAGCGGUGGAUGUUUUCGAUAUUCCUCAUGGUCGACUGAUUAACAAGGUUAGAUCACAUGGAAUCCAGGGAGAGCUGGCCAUUUGGAAAGGCCUUUGACCUGCAGUAUGCUGCAAGGAUUGGUACUUAGUAACUAUAACUCCUACAUUCACAUCCAAAUCAUCUUUAUAAAUGACACACCACUGGUCACAGGCCUCCAGUCGACAAAGCAACCCUCCACCAGCACUCCGUCUUCUACCUUCAAGCCAGAUCUGUUUCCAAAUGACUGGUUCUCUCUGUAUUCCAUCUGAUCUGACCUUGCUAAUCAGUCUACUAUGAGGAACCUUGUCAAACGCCUUAGUGACAUCCAUAUAGAACACAUCCACCUCUUUGCGCUACUCAAUCCUCUUUGUUCCUCCAUCAAAAAAAAUCAAGUUAGUGAGACAUGAUUUCCCACACACACAGCCAUGUUGAUUAUCCCUAAUCAGUCCUUCCCUUUCCAAAUAUUUCAAGUACUAUCCCUCAGGAUUCCUAGAACGACUUUCCCACCACUAAUAUCAGGCUCACUGGCCUAUAGUUCCCUGGCUUUUCCUUACCACCUUUCUUAAAUAGUGGCACCACAUUAGCCAACUUCUGGUCCCUCAAAUGUGACUAUCGAUGAUACAAAUAUCUCAGCAAGGGGCCCAGCAAUCACUUGCCUAGCUUCCCUCCGAGUUCUCGGAUACACCUGAUCAGGUCCCAGGAAUUUAUCCACUUUUAUACGUUUUAAGCAUCACUACCUCUGUAAUAUGGAUAAUUUUCAAGAUGUUGCUAUUUAUUUCCCCACAGUCCAUAUCUUCCAUAUCCUUUUCUGUAGUAAAUACUGAUGCAUAAUACUUGUUUUAUUAUAUUCCCCAUUUCUUGCAAUUCCACACAUAGGAGGCAUUGCUGCUUUUUAAGGGGCCCUAUCUCUCCAUCGUUAUCCUUUUUGUUCUUAAUCUAUUUGUAGAAUCCCACUGGAUUUUCCUUAAUACUAUUUGCCUAAGUUACCUCAUGUUCCCUUUUUGCCCUACUAAUUUCCCUCUUAAGUAUACUAUUGUCAUUAUACUCUUGUAAGCAUUCACUCGAUCUCUGCUGUCUAUACCUGACAUGUCCUUCCUCGUUUUUCUUGACCAAAACCUUGAUUUCUCUAGUCAUCCAGAAUUCCCUAUACCUACCAGCAUUGUCCUUCACCCGAACAGGAGUAUACUGUCCCUGAACUCUCGUUAUCUCUUUUUUUUUUGAAGGCUUCCCACUUUCUAACUUUCUGUUUUACCUGCGAACAUCUGCCCCAAUCAACUUUUGAAAGCUCUUGUGUAAUACCAUUAAAAUUGGCCUUCCUCCAAUAUAGAGCUUUAACUUUCAGAUCCGGUCUACUCUUUUCCAUCACUAUUUUAAAACUAAUAGAAUUAUGGUCACUGGCCCCAAAGUCCUCCCCUGCUGAUACCCUAGUCACCUGUCCUGCUUUAUUUGCCAACAGCAGGUCAAGUUUUGCACCUUCUGUAGUCGGUACAUCACAUACUGAAUCAAAACAUUUUCCUCUACACUCUCAGCAAACUCCGCUCCAUCCAAGCCUUUUAGACCAUGGAAUUCCCAGUCUGUUUGGAAAGUUAAAAUCCCUUCCAUCACCACCCUGUUAUUCUUCCAGAUAACUUCUUUCAAAAUUAUUUGUCAGAUUCCUGCUGACUAAUGGGGGUGGCUAUAGUAUAAUCCCAAUAAGGUGAUCAUCCCUUUCUUAUUUCUCAGUUCCACCCAAAUAACUUCCCUGGAUGUAUUCUCAGAUAUAUCCUGCCUAAGUAACGCCGUAAUGUUAUCCUUGCUCAAAAAUGCCACUUUUCCCUCCUCUCUUGCUUUGCUUCCCCCUCCCCCUUCGACUUUCUAUCCUUUCUAUAGGAACUAUAUCUUAGAACAUUAAGCUGGCAGCCCUGUCCACCUCUGAGCCUUGCCUCUGUAAUUGCAAUGAUAACCCAGUUUCAUGUUUCCAAUCUUGCCCUGAGUUCCUCUGCCUUAGCUGUUAGGCCUCUGGCAUUGAAAUAAAUGGCGUUUAAUUUAUUAGUCCUUUCGCAUUAAUCUCAAUAACAAAUACGUAACUGUAGAGUAGGUUUUGAAAAUGAUAACGUUUUAUUGCUGUAGAUCAACACAUUCACACUGGGUAAAGACAAUCCACCCGCAGUGUGUGAAAAGGGAUUCCCUAGUUCAUUAGGACGGGUUUUCAUAGAAUUCGGAGUAUUCCUACAGUAUGGAAACAGGCCCUUCGGCCCAAGAAUUCCACACAAAACCUCAGAGCAUCCCACCCAGACACAUCUCCCCGUAGCCCACCUAAUGUACGCAUCACUGAACACUCUGGGCAAUUUAGCUUGGCGAAUCCACUAACCAGCACGUGGGAGGAAACCAGAGCACCUAGAGGAAACCCACGCAGCCACAGGGAGAAUAUGCCAACAACCACACACUCGGUUGCCCAAGGGUGGAAUCAAAUCCAGGUCCCUGGCACUGUGAGGCAGCAGUGCUAACCGCUGAGCCACUGUGGUUGAACACCAAUGAGUUCCCAAGAAUCUGUAGGAAUUUUUGUUGCUCGUAUUAUCUGUAUUCAAGUCAUGUUAUCUGGGCUUGUUUCUCAUGAUGUUUGAAAACACCACAUGUCUGGUUACCUUGUUGGGAGAAAAAAUGAUAUAAAUUUUAUUAAAACUACUGUGCAUUGGAUCUUUA